UACGUAGGGUGCAAGCGUUAAUCGGAAUUACUGGGCGUAAAGCGUGCGCAGGCGGUUGCGCGCGUGGGGUGUGAAAGUCUGGCCGCUUAACGGCCAGGCGCCAUCCCAUACGGCGCGACUGGAGUGAUGCAGAGGUCGAUGGAAUUGCCGGUGUAGUGGUGAAAUGCGUAGAGAUCGGCAGGAACACCCAGGGGGGAAACCCAGUCGACUGGGCAUCUACUGACGCUGAGGCGCGAAGGCGUGGGGAGCGAACGGG
rnacentral:rRNA from 1 species